AUGGCAACAUUUCUGCGCAUGCGCUUCGUGGUCAGCGUCUUGACCUGACGGAAGCAGGCUCUGCUGGCAGGACAGAAAAGAAGGGCGGGCUUUUAAAUCGUCACCCUGCUGGCGGGGACUGUGAAGUAUUCGGACACAUCCUUACCUUACUGGCGUACUCAAGCAUGGCCAGACCUCCCAUGCACGGUUCGGUGAUUGUCCCAGACUGGCAUGAGACGGUCGAGGGUAAGGAGUACUUAGCCUGCAUCCUGCGCAAGAAUCGCCGGCGGGAGUUUGGGUUGCUUGAACGCCCGGUGCUGCCCCCUUCCGUGGUCAUUGAUACCGCCAGCUAUAAGAUCUUUGUGUCCGGGAAGAGUGGUGUGGGCAAGACAGCACUGGUGGCAAAGCUGGCCGGCCUGGAAGUGCCUAUAGUACACCAUGAGACCACUGGACCUUUGAGGUCUCCCUCUACAAGCAGUGAGACUCCUUUCUCCUGGCGAGGGCCAACUCUGCCUGGUCUACCAAGGACUACUGCAGAGCAAGACUGUUUACGUCCUGAGUCUGAGGAGUCUCUCAGGCAUUCAGACCACUGUGGUGUUUUGGCCAGCCAAGCUGAAGGCCAGCGACUGUGUUGUCAUGUUCCGUUUUGAAUUCUGGGACUGUGGGGAGUCUGCCCUCAAGAAGUUUGAUCACAUGCUGCCGGCUUGUAAAGAGAAUGCAGAUGCCUUCCUCUUCCUCUUUUCUUUCACCGAUCGUGCCUCCUUCGAAGACCUUCCUGGACAGUUGACUCGUGUAGCCGGUGAAGCUCCUGGGCUCGUCAAGAUAGUUAUCGGGUCCAAGUUUGAUCAGUACAUGCACACAGAUGUGCCAGCGCGAGACCUCACAGCCUUCCGGCAGGCCUGGGAACUGCCCUUGUUCCGGGUGAAGAGUGUGCCAGGGCGGCGGCUGGCAGACGGACGAACACUGGAUGGCAGGGCUGGGCUAGCUGACACAGCCCAUGUGCUC